rnacentral:lncRNA from 1 species
GCCGCCGCGCCCGUCCGCCGCUUCGCCGCCGGGGCCGCGCUCCUGUGCCAGACCUGCAGUACAAGAAUCUUUAAAGAAAAGUCUUCAGCCUGAAGGGAAAUGACACCAUAUAGAAUAUGGAUCCACAUGAUGGAAUGAAAGUGCCAGAAAUGGGAAAUAUGUGGUAAAUAUAAAAUAAUUUAUUUUAUCAUUUUAAAAUUUCUUUAAAAGAAAAUUUAUGGCUUAAAAUAAUAGCAAUUUAUUGUGGAGUUUCUAAUAUUAUGUAACAGUAAAAUAUAUGACAGAGCAAGAGGAGAGUAAAAUGAAAGAAUACAGACAAACAAUAGACAAAAAUCAAUGGAAACAAAAGUUGGUUCUUUAAAAAGAUGAAUAAAAUUGAUAACCCCCUAAGAUUAAUCAAGAAAAAAGAGAGGAGACCAAAUGGUCAAUAUCUGGAGUGAACGAGGGCAUGUUACUGUACAUCUUACAGACAUUUAAAGGAUAAUAAUGGGUAUUAAGAACUACUUUAUGUCAAUAAGUUUAAUAAAUUAGAUGAAAUGAAUAAAUUCCUUGAAAAACUCAAAUUAUCAAAAUUGACAUAAGAAGAAACUGAAAAUCUGAAUGGUCCUAAAUUUGAUUUUUUUAAAGAUAAAAUUUGUAGUUAAAAACAUUCCCGCAAAUAAAACUCCAGGCCCAAAUGGUUACCCUGGUGAAUUUUAGAAAACAUUUAGGAAGAAAUAGCACUAAUCUUACAAAAACUUUUUCAUAGAGGAGGAGGAAAGAGGAAACAGUUCCCAGAUAAUUUUAUGAGGCCAGCAUAACCAUGAUAAAAAAAAAGAAAAGGAGACAUUACAGACCAAUGUUCCUCAAGAACAUAGGGACACAAAAAACAAUGAAAUACUAGCACAUUUAAUACAGCAAUAUAUAUAAAAAGGACAAUGCGUCAUGACCAAGUGGGGUUUAUCCCAGGAAUGCAAGGUUGGUUUAACAUGUGAAACUCAAUGAAUAUAAUUCAUCACAUUAAUUGAAUGAAAAAGAAAAAUUAUAUGAUCUGUUCAGUAGAUACAGAAAAAAGUAGUUGACAAAGCUCAUAGCCUAAUUAUGAUUAAAAACUCUUGGCAAACUCAGAAUAAAAUGAACAUUCCACAGUCUACUAAAGGACAUCUUCCAGAAAACCUUG